UACGUAGGGUGCGAGCGUUGUCCGGAAUUAUUGGGCGUAAAGGGCUCGUAGGCGGUUUGUCGCGUCGGGAGUGAAAACACGGGGCUUAACCCCGUGCCUGCUUCCGAUACGGGCAGACUAGAGGUAUGCAGGGGAGAACGGAAUUCCUGGUGUAGCGGUGAAAUGCGCAGAUAUCAGGAGGAACACCGAUGGCGAAGGCAGGUCUCUGGGCCAUUACUGACACUGAGAAGCGAAAGCAUGGGGAGCGAACAGG
rnacentral:rRNA from 1 species